rnacentral:lncRNA from 1 species
CUAGACUACCAACAAAACCAACCACCAAAACCUGUCUAAUGUGCACAUCCAACAACCUUGUUAGUUUUGACACUUAACAGAUAGGAAAUCGCAUGUUUGGAUGCAAUGCACCUAUACAGUUAAACGUUUCUACCAUGUGUUUGAACAGUAGCAUGUUUUAUCCCGAUCUUAACUAGGUCUUUCAGUAUGUACCUCUUUUAUUUUAUUUUUGCCUCUCUUUAAUCGCUCUUGAUUUUUUUUUUUCAUUUUGUUUCUGCCACUCUCUUAUUUUUUGGCACACUCUUUUUCUCUUUUGUUUGUCAUUCUUUUAUUUCUUUCGCUCUCUCUCUCUCUUUUCUUUUCUUUUUUUUUCACUCUUUUCUUUCUUUUUCACUCAAUCUUUUUUAGUUUAUUUUAUCACUCAACUAAUUUUAUGGCUAUGAUUGAAUCCGAUGAGGAUUGUCUACGUAUCAUGACGCCGCACGAAUCAGGUCUUGCGUAGUUUGGAAAGAUCGAAAAUAAAGUAAAUAAACUAACACUUUUUUUCUUUGUUUACUUUUAUAAAACUCAGACCGUGAAAGCUUUAAGGAAAAGAAAAGCAUAUAUUUUUUUUUUAAUUUUUUGUUUUGUUGUUUUUGUUUUUUUUUCGAAAGAAAUGCUUUCAAAGAAGAAAGAAAAUAUUUUUUUAUUUUUUGAUUUAUUUUUCUUUUAUUUUUUGAAAGAAAAACUUCUAAAAAUUCCUUUUCUUUGUGAUUUGAACUUUGGGAAUUUCAAAAGUAAAAGAAAAUAUUUUUUGUUAGAAUUUUUAUUUGUUUUCUUAUUUUUUCUAAAGAAGAAAGAAAAUAUAUUUGGAUUUUGGAUGCUGUCUCUUAAUUUUUGAAAGAGGGACUUUUUAAGAAAACAUUUUGCAUUUCUAUGUUUUUUUUUUAUUUACAAAAGUACUUCUAAAGAAAAGCGAAAAUAUUUUUGGAUUUUUCAAAAAUUUUACGAAUAUUUGCAAAGAAAGGCUUCCAAAGAAGAAAAAGUAUUUUUAGAUUUUUAUUUCUGAUUUAUUUUUUGGAUUUGUUUUUGGAAAAAUACUUCAAAAUGAAGGAAACCCGUAUUUUGGAUUCUGAUUUUUAUUGAUUUCUUUCAUUUUAUUUCUUUUUCCAUAUGAAAGAUUUCAGAAAGAAGGAACUAUUUUUGAGUUUAAAAACUUCUUCUUUUUUUUUUGAAUUUUCUAAGGAAAGAUUUCUAAAGAAGGAACUAAAAGAAAAUAUUUUUGGAUUUUUUUUUGGAAAUUGGGGCCGAGACCGAUGAUUUUUGCCUACGUAUCUCACAUCCGGUGAGAAUCAAACUCACGUAGUUCAGUCAAUUUUUACGGAACAAGGAAAACAUGACACUUGAAAAUUUUGGCUCAUUUUGAAAUAACUUUUCCUUUUUUUCCAGAAUUUCGACAGAGUUUCAGAAUUUGAAAUAUCACACCUUUUUUUUAUUUUCUUUUUCUUUUAGAAGUCGGUCAACAUGCAAGCUAAAUCAAAUAAUUGUACAAGUAGCACCUAAGAUGCAUCAAGAUGGUCUUUUUAAUUUGGGUACACUUGUCCUAGACGGACCCAACCCCUAUGUUGAGUCCCCAAAGUCAUGCACGUAAUGCAAACAAGCGUUCCUACUAGGGAUCCGGUAUGAGGCUAUAUUAUUCUAGGUUUUAAAACCUGGGUGUAUUAUUCUAAACCUGGCUUACCCGAGCGGACAACUCGAGCCGAGGGGGCAGCGUACCGGGAAUACAAAAGUUUCACCGGCUUUGCAACUUGUCUGAACCUCGUUCUAAAAUUGGGAUAUGUCUAACAAAAAAGAGGUCACACGAAGUGCACACGUUCCGGAUGAUUUAGAAAACUCAAGGAGAAAAGGGUUUCAUAACAAUUUAUAUACAGUCCAAACAAUAUCAAAGCGGUAAAAAGCGGCAUUUAGCAAAUUAGGCUCAAACAUGUAAAAAUCAGAUAAUAAAUAAAGCCAAGUAUAACAGUUAUUCUAAGCUCGAAUUCUGAAUCCUGAAGCAGAAGUUCUGGGUUCUUGUCUCCAGCAGAGUCGCCAAAGCUGUCACACCUCCCUUUUUACCACCCGAGAGGGGAUACAAGGGAGUUUUUCCAAUUAAAGUGACAUUAAUCGAAAUGGGAUUAAUUUAUUUAUCAGACUCGCCACUUGGAAUAGUUUAUUUGGUAUUCCAAGUCACCGGUUUAUUUUAAAAAUCUCAAAUCGAGGAAAAUCGACUUUAUUUAAAUGUCUGCGAAAUCAGAAAUUCUAAGUAAUGAAUUCUGUCAACCCAGGAGAAGGUGUUAGGCAUUCCUGGGUUCCGUGGUUCUAGCACAGUCGCUUAAACCAUUGAAAUUGGCCUAUUAUCCGAUUUAUUACAUGUUUUAACCUAUGGUGCAUUUUUAACUUUAGAACCACUUUUAAUUAAUCUAAACCGCUUUUACGAUUUAUGGAUUUUUUUUUGAACAAGUUAUGAUUGUCCUACACUUGUUUGUUUUGGAACAUGCUGCAAACCACGCAACAUGAAAUGCACCCGCAAUUCGCGACAUGUUUUAUUAAACAUUGUUGAGAACUGAAAUUGGGUCACAUGAAAUGUACACCCGGAUUUUGUAAUUAAAAAUCACAACUAUAUUACGGGAACCAUACCCGUAGCUAUGAUGAAUUAUUUAAAUAACGCGCUCAAAGCAACUACGAAGAUUCAAUUUUCUAUAACAACAUUUGUGAGAGCCAUGGAUGAUUUAAUUUAUUUAUGGCACACCUCAAACUUCUUUCUAUAAGUGUUAGUUCCUGAAUCUAAUCUUAUGAGGACCAUGGAUUAUAAAUUUUGUUUGACAUGGCACGCCUCAAAUUAUUUCAAAGGGUUUUAUUAUUCGAAAUUGUUAUAUUCGGGUCACAUGAAAUGCACCCCGAAUUUGGGAAUUAGGUAUCAUGACUAUGUCAUAGGAACCGAUGAUUAUUAUUAAUCACGCCUAAAGCAACUAACGCGUUUGAAUUAUUUAUCUUUACAUUGAGAUUAUUAUGCAAGAAAACCCUUUGAGACAACAGAAAGAUCUAUCAAAUUUCCUUUCAAAGGAAUUCAAGCAAAUCAGAUUUCACAAAAACCAAAGAAUCCAUUCAAAUUACGAAGACGGGUUGCAAGAACUGAAUCAAAAUUCAUGUAAAUCAUAUGGAGAAAUGGAGAUACACUCAUGAAUGCAGCUUACCAAUCAAUUUCGCCGGAGAAAUAAGAAGCUAGGAGUUCAUAUCAUAAAACGUAAUAAACUACAUUUGAAAAGUACUAAUACCAUGAUUCCAAUUAUACAUAUAACUUCCGGAUGAAUUACUGAUGCCCUUAAAGCUCUUUUGGCUAUAUUCACUAAUCUACUUUGGUCUCUAUUACCAAUGAUAGAAAAAAAAACGAAACAGAAGUUUAAGCAUUCAACUAAUUUGAACCAUUUUUAUCAAACAAAUAUUCAGGAAUCAAAGAUGAACUACACAUAUAAAGGAAACUUCAAAUUAGUAGUGUUUUGCAGUUCCCUGUUUAGGCCUUUUAGCACACAGUACGGUAGUAGAAAAGGGUUCCAUUGAAGGAACAAACACUAAUCUCCCCUUUUGUUCCACUGACAGUGAACAGCUUCUUAACACGUGAAUCAUUAUUUAAACAAUGCAAAGUUCCAGCAGUGAGCUAUUCUUGCCAACAAAUAACACUAAAAGAACUUAAUUCACCCGAAUAAUAUUGCAAAACAAACUGGAGAUUCAAGUCAUUUUUAACAGCCAACACAAUAAUUUUGAGUAAUCAAGCACAAAUUUAACAUAGAGCAGAUCACAUCUUCAUAUCAUUGAUUCAAACAGAAGGUUGGACAUGAACAUACCUAAUUGCAUAGGAAUAACAGAAUUUUGACCAAAACGAAAAUCAAAAGGGAAAGGAUUGAUCCCAGCUCUUGUUCGAGUGAGAAGCAGCAACAGAACAUCAAAACAGCUCAGGAAAUCACCUCAAAACCCAGGUCGGAUUCAGUCAAUUUCUAAUUAACGAGAUGCCAUAGAAGAGAGGUCCGCAGACAAACAACAUCAACAACAAACAACAACAGCUCCUUUAAAUUUUCAGAAGUACCAAAUGGAGGAGCAAGGCUGAAACGCAAAGAAGCUUGAAAUCCAAAGAAAAGGUCGAAUGAGUUGCCGGAAAAACCACUGGUUCGCCAAUAAAGCAGACUUCGAGCUCUAAGGAUUCAUAAGGGGUCUGAUGACUGGCCAGAUUUUUUGCAUUGACUCGCCGGAGAUGAAGCAAAAAAAACGAGGGAUGUAUAGCCUUUGGAGUAGAAGGCGCUGUUCUUGUUCUAACUUAAGGAUUAGGUGGGUUUUUAGUGAAGAAGAAGAAGCCUAGCUUAAAGGGUGUGGAGGAAAAAAUGGAGAUCAGGGGUGUUCUUUGGUUGUCAUCUAAAGAAGGAGCAGAGGCGUGAGGGUGUGAAGAAGAAAAAGUUCGGGGGGCGGGGGGCCUCAGAUCCGCCGUUUGUCUGUGUGGGAGCCUUAGGUCUUAGGUUAUUUAAUGUGGA